rnacentral:lncRNA from 1 species
CUUAAAGUAAGUAAUUAUUUUAUUUAUACGGGUCUUACAACAUUCGCUUAGUUUGCAAUUCUGAAGACCGAAUUAGCCUUCGCUUAGUUGGGUGAUUCGAGUUGGAUUUGCAUUAGAGUAGUGUGUACCUAUUGUUAAUCUGUGAUUGGAAGAAUAGUGAUCGAGUUAAUGACCAACCAUUUUCAUAUUCCGUUUUUACAUUUAUGUUUACCUUUCUGUUUGCAUCUUUGUUUACAUUGUUGUUUGCAUUCGUGUUUUGAUUUUGUUUAUCUGCAUUCACAAACCUUUCAACAACCCCCCCCACUACGUGUUUGCCCUAAUUCUUGAACCACAUUUGGUACUUGAGAGACGACCUAGGAGUCACUUCCUAGUCUAUAUUGCAUUCUUUUAUGCACAUUAAAUUUUGCAUGGGAUGCGACACCCAUCAAAAUUUUGGCGUAGUUGUCGUGGACCAACGGUUCGGUUUUAGGUCUUUUGUUGUGGUAGUAUGUGUUGUCUUGUCUUGUGUUGUGAGUGUGAUGUUGUGUUUUGUGUGUUCGUCAUUGUGUGUUGCAUUUAGGUAGCUUUAGUUGCAUAUAUUCAUUGCAUUCUUCUUUUCCCCCUUCUUUCCCAUGUCUACCUAUUUUGGUUAUGGAUAUUGUUUCUUCUGCCUGUGCCUAUGAUUAUGAUUCUCCUGUUGAUUUCUAUGUUGAGAACAGUAAGGUUCCUCCUCCAUCUCAUGAGAGUGCUCUUAGGGAGUCAUUUCCACUUGAUGAGGAGGACAUUCGUUAUGUUUCCAACACUGGACUGAUACAUUUGCUGCCUAGGUUUCAUGGUUUUGCAGGUGAAUGCCCACGUAGACAUUUGGAGGAGUUAUACACAUUAUGCUCUUUAAUGAAACCUCCAGAUUUCUCGAAUGAAGACAUGUUCUUAAGGGCAUUUAGGCACUCAUUACACGGAGCAGCAAAGGGUUGGUGUUAUUGUCUUCCUCCAGGAUUCAUCACCAGUUGCGAAGAUCUGAAGCAUCAUUUUUUAGACAAAUUCUCCCCUGUGCGGUAUGGUUAUAGUGACGAUCCUGGGUGGACUGAUCCUAACUUGGGAUGGUAUGGUACUUCACAGCAUCAAUAUUAGGAACCAUCAUUCUAGACUCCUUGUAUGCCUCCACCGGUCCAGGAACCACAACAGUUGCAGUUUCAUGAGCCUCAAGCUUAUGUUCUGAACAUCUACAAUAACAGGCAGCCACAGCAGAAAAACCGGAGGCAGCCAUUCACAUAGGAGAUGGGGAGCAGAUUCAUGAGCCUACUACUGCACCAUCUACUUCCCCACCCUCCUAUGCCUCCCCUCUUGCACUUGAGGAUGCAGUUGCUCAUUCUGCUUUUAUUGGUGAGAUGAAUCAUGAAUCAGCACAGGUUUUCUCUAAUCUUGAAAUUCCACUUGCUUUGCCUUAGCUGUUUAUGAAUUCAAAUAUUCUUGAUUCUGCUGCAGAUUCACAUGUUAGUGAUGAUUUUGAUAUAGAAACUGUGAAACUGAAGAUGCUUUAGACUUAGGUUUAAAUUUUGAUCUUUCACAGAUUUCUGAAAAUUUUAAAUGUAGUUGUGAAGUUGGUUCUUGCUCUAUUUGUGUUGAAAUCACUUGAGGUUCCAACUUUAUGAUGAGUGAUACUAACUGUGAGUCUAAUGAAAAUGUUGAGGCACAGGUAGGUAUAAGCAACACCUUUUAGAUAGGUAGACCAUCUUCACCUUCCACCAAUCUACCAAUCUUCAGGGAAGUAGAGGUAAACAUACCUAUGAUUGAUUCUGUUGUUGAUGAUGAUGCUAGUGAUAGGUAUGUUGAUGAUUAUGUUGUUGAUGAGCCUGUUUUUAAUUCUCCCUCUCUGCAUGAUGAGAAACAACUUUUGCCAUCUUGUCUGAAUGUUUGUUCUCCAUGCACUGAACAUGAAUCUCAGCCUAUGGUUGAUAUUGCUUCUAAAUUUGAACUUGAUUCAUGUUCUGAGGGUAUAUCUGAGGUUUAGCCUGUUACAUUGGGAUUGGGUGUUAAACCCCUGCAUGUUAUUUCUGUGGAACCAUAUUGCACUAACCAUGUUGUAGGAGGUACAUAUCAAUUUAACCAAUACACACCCAUGGUGGAAGACAAAGGUCCCGACAAUUUGAAGAUUAAUAGGCAUCAGCUGAACCUGUUCAUCAACUAUCACUUUUUCUUAGAUCCAAUUGUGGAGGACAUCUCCCUACUUGAUCAAAUUUGGAGGAUGAAGCAGUUCUUCCUCAAGACUUUCUUGCUGAAUCCGAUGGUGGAAGAUAUCUCCCUGCAAGCCCAAAAUUGGCAACUACCACCAUGAUCAGGGGAUUUUUCUUUUCCCUUCCCCUCCCUUUCCCACUUUUAUUGCACUUGUCCAUGAUCUAUUGACUGUUUUGACUGCUGAUCUUAUGCUUGUGACACAUUGAGGACACUNUGUAGUUUAAGUGUGGUCUAUUGGGGGAGAUUUUGAAUUUUUGUUGUUAGUUUAUGUUUUUUGUGUUAAAUUUUUCGUUUUCUAGGUAGUUUUUGUUGUGUUUUGUAUACAGUUUUGCAUGUUUCUCUAAAUUUUUCGACUUUGUUUAGGUUAUCAGUUUUUCCUUCACUUCGUUGAUACUCUGAUUUGUUUGAAAUCCUUGCUUUUCUUUGCUUGAAAAGAGGAUUAUGAUGUUUGAGAUGUUGAUUUGAUUGUGAAAGAAAUACCCUGUGUGAGAAUUGAGCCACUUGAUAUUCUUUCUUGUGUGUGAUAUAUCUCUUGAUUGCUUGCACAUAUGCCUUGGCUUAACUCUUUUUGAUGAUUCUUGAUUGAUAUGCAUGUUUGAAAGUGAUAAAGACAACUUUGUUGUUGAGCCUUUCUAGCCAAAUGAGCCUACCAUGUUUUGAUCCAUUGAUGACCCAUUUUGAGCCUAUGUUUUCCCCAUUUCUUUGUUUUGAAGCUUAUGCACUAGCCCUAAGUGAAAAACCAUGUUUACCUUAACCUUAGGGAGUUUUGGAGCUUUGGAAUUGUUUUGGGAAUAAGUGUGGUCUCCUGGGAGAUUAUGAUGAAUUGGCUAGUUGGUUCCUCUCCUUGUUUGUGUUUUUGUAAAUAUAUGGUGUAUCUUGUCUCUUAGAGUUAUGCCCAAUAUUGAGAGAAAAGAAAAGAGACAAGACGAAAAAAAAAAAGAAAAAAAAAUAAAGAAAAAUGAGAAAAAUUAAAAAAAAAUUGUGAAUAAUGGAGUCAAGAAGAGGAUUGAAUUAGAGGUUUUAGGUGUAAUUUGAUUGUGUUUCACUUGUUCCCCAUUGCUCCUCUAUUUCUUUUGGUUUGUAGCUUGUUAUCCAUACUCAUCAAAUUCUUUAUGCUCAUCAAAUUUGUAUGGGGACAACUCAUCAAAUUUUGGCGCCGUUGCCAAAGACCAACGGUUUAGUUUUAGGUCUUUUGUUGUGUUAGUGUGUGUUGUGUUUUGUCUUGUGUUGUGAGUAUGAUGUUCUGUUUUGUGUGUGGUGUCAUGUGUUGUUGCAUUUAGAUAAUUUUAGUUGCAUAUUUUCAUUGCAUUCUUCUUUUCCCCCUUUCUU